rnacentral:rRNA from 1 species
GGCCCAGAUUCCUACGGGAGGCAGCAGUAGGGAUCUUCCACAAUGGACGAAAGUCUGAUGGAGCAACGCCGCGUGAGUGAAGAAGGUUUUCGGAUCGUAAAACUCUGUUGUUGGAGAAGAAUGUAUCUGAUAGUAACUGAUCAGGUAGUGACGGUAUCCAACCAGAAAGCCACGGCUAACUACGUGCCAGCAGCCGCGGUAAUACGUAGGUGGCAAGCGUUGUCCGGAUUUAUUGGGCGUAAAGCGAGCGCAGGCGGUUUCUUAAGUCUGAUGUGAAAGCCUUCGGCUCAACCGAAGAAGUGCAUCGGAAACUGGGAAACUUGAGUGCAGAAGAGGACAGUGGAACUCCAUGUGUAGCGGUGAAAUGCGUAGAUAUAUGGAAGAACACCAGUGGCGAAGGCGGCUGUCUGGUCUGUAACUGACGCUGAGGCUCGAAAGCAUGGGUAGCAAACAGGAUUAGAUACCCUGGUAGUCCAUGCCGUAAACGAUGAGUGCUAGGUGUUGGAGGGUUUCCGCCCUUCAGUGCCGCAGCUAACGCAUUAAGCACUCCGCCUGGGGAGUACGACCGCAAGGUUGAAACUCAAAGGAAUUGACGGGGGCCCGCACAAGCGGUGGAGCAUGUGGUUUAAUUCGAAGCAACGCGAAGAACCUUACCAGGUCUUGACAUCCUUUGACCACUCUAGAGAUAGAGCUUUCCCUUCGGGGACAAAGUGACAGGUGGUGCAUGGUUGUCGUCAGCUCGUGUCGUGAGAUGUUGGGUUAAGUCCCGCAACGAGCGCAACCCUUAUUACUAGUUGCCAGCAUUUAGUUGGGCACUCUAGUGAGACUGCCGGUGACAAACCGGAGGAAGGUGGGGACGACGUCAAAUCAUCAUGCCCCUUAUGACCUGGGCUACACACGUGCUACAAUGGAUGGUACAACGAGUUGCGAGACCGCGAGGUUUAGCUAAUCUCUUAAAACCAUUCUCAGUUCGGAUUGUAGGCUGCAACUCGCCUACAUGAAGCCGGAAUCGCUAGUAAUCGCGGAUCAGCAUGCCGCGGUGAAUACGUUCCCGGGCCUUGUACACACCGCCCGUCACACCAUGAGAGUUUGUAACACCCAAAGCCGGUGAGGUAACCCUUCGGGGAGCCAGCCGUCUAAG